AACGAGCGCUGGCGGCGUGCCUAACACAUGCAAGUCGUGCGAGAAAGUUCCUUCGGGAGCGAGUAAAGCGGCGCACGGGUGAGUAACACGUAGGUAACCUGCCCCCCAGUCUGGAACAACUAGAGGAAACUCUAGCUAAUGCCGGAUGAGACCACGAUCCCUUCGGGGGUUGCGGCCAAAGAUGGCCUCUACUUGUAAGCUAUCGCUGAGGGAUGGGCCUGCGGGCCAUUAGCUUUGUUGGUGAGGUAACGGCUCACCAAGGCUGUGAUGGCUAGCUGGUCUGAGAGGAUGACCAGCCACACUGGGACUGAGACACGGCCCAGACUCCCUACGGGAGGCAGCAGU
rnacentral:rRNA from 1 species